rnacentral:tRNA from 1 species
GGUCUUAUAGUGUAGUGGUUAGCACAUCGGACUUUGAAUCCGUUGACCUGAGUUCGAAUCUCAGUAAGACCA